AGCCUGAACGCUGGCGGCGUGGCUAAGACAUGCAAGUCGUACGGGUGUAGCAAUACACCAGUGGCGGACGGGUGAGUAAUGUAUCGCUAACGUACCCCGGAUUCUGGGAUAGCUGCCCGAAAGGGCAGGUAAUACCGAAUGAUAUAUCCUUUUCGCAUGAUGAGGAUCUCAAAGGGAAACCGUUCUGGGAGCGGGCGAUAUCGUAUCAGCUAGUUGGUGAGGUAACGGCUCACCAAGGCGACGACGCGUAGCCGGACUGAGAGGUUGGCCGGCCACAUUGGGACUGAGACACUGCCCAGACUCCUACGGGGGGCUGCAGUAACGAAUCUUCCGCAAUGCACGCAAGUGUGACGGAGCGACGCCGCGUGUGGACGAAGUCCUUCGGGAUGUAACCACUGUCAGGGGUUAGAAGUUCUGAUCAACCCCAGAGGAAGGCACGGCUAACUCUGUGCCAGCAGCCGCGGUAA
rnacentral:rRNA from 1 species